UUUUAUUUAUUUAGUUUUUAUUUAGUUUUUUUUCCACGUUUGAUUUUAAUAAAUACAAUAAGGAGGCAGUUGGUCCCACUUCGUGCCGCGCUGGGAAAGCCCACCUGCACCGCCGGGCCUUCACGGGUGAGCUUGAGGCGCCUUGGGAUCGCGCCCUGCAGGCUGAGGGGCAGUGCUCAUUCUCCGUCCUCAGGCCGAAAACCGAGACCCCAGGAAGGUCAACACCUGCCCCGAGGUCACACAGCUACCCGGCUCGGUUCUCUGACUGGUGGCCUCUGGAGGUUCGGGCCGGGACAGGGUCCGCGUGAUUGUCCCCCAAGGCACACACCCCGCUCCCCGAUACUUCCCCGCCAGGCCAGGCCGGCUGCCCUCCAGGCAGCAGGUGCCCGCCGCCCAGCGCCGAAGCGGGGUAGCCCGCCUUCGCGGAUCUCGCCCGAGGGGCACCCCUUGCCCGAGCCCAGGACGCGCGCUCGGCCAGGUCUCGGCGGCCGGGGCGCGGGAGGACCGAGGCGGCCGGCGCCGGGCGCCCUCUGGUGGCCGCCGCGGGCAAGGAGCGGGAGCGCGGGUUCCCCCCGCGACGCCGCCGGGCGGGGGCGCCGGCAGCCUGGGAUUCCCCCCGCGCGCGAGGGUGUCUGGGCCUCGCGCCCGCGCGCCCCCUUUUCUCCGAGGAGGAAGCACUUUUGGAUGGAACUGAACUUCUGUAAAAAAAUCAAUGAAGUCGACAGGGACACCUGGUCUAUAAUACGGGAGAGACGCCCUCGCGCUCGGGACCCGCGGGGAGGAGCCAGGGGGAGCCGCGCCGAGCGGAAAUGGUGCCUAUUGUCGCGGCGGCGCGCGGCUCCGCUCGGGCCACCGGCCGAGGGGCGCGCCCGCGGGGCCCCGGGCGGGGAGGCGGCGGGGGUGGCGGUGAGCGAGGAGGAGCCCCCCCAGGGCCCUCACCAGCUCCCGCCGCCCUUUGUCCGCCGCGAGCCCCGCCCCUCCGCACCCGCGGCCUCGCCAGCCCCGGUGCCCGCCGCCUUCCGGGACUCGCCCCUCGCGGGUGAGAAGAGCAGGCGGCUGUGA
rnacentral:lncRNA from 1 species